rnacentral:rRNA from 1 species
CAGUUGGCGGGGUAACGGCCCACCAAACCGACGAUGGAUAGGGGUUCUGAGAGGAAGGUCCCCCACAUUGGUACUGAGACACGGACCAAACUCCUACGGGAGGCAGCAGUGAGGAAUAUUGGUCAAUGGCCGAGAGGCUGAACCAGCCAAGUCGCGUGAAGGAUGAAGGAUCUAUGGUUUGUAAACUUCUUUUAUAGGGGAAUAAAGUGUGGGACGUGUCCCAUUUUGUAUGUACCCUAUGAAUAAGCAUCGGCUAACUCCGUGCCAGCAGCCGCGGUAAUACGGAGGAUGCGAGCGUUAUCCGGAUUUAUUGGGUUUAAAGGGUGCGUAGGUGGUAAUUUAAGUCAGCGGUGAAAGUUUGUGGCUCAACCAUAAAAUUGCCGUUGAAACUGGGUUACUUGAGUGUGUUUGAGGUAGGCGGAAUGCGUGGUGUAGCGGUGAAAUGCAUAGAUAUCACGCAGAACUCCAAUUGCGAAGGCAGCUUACUAAACCAUAACUGACACUGAAGCACGAAAGCGUGGGUAUCAAACAGGAUUAGAUACCCUGGUAGUCCACGCAGUAAACGAUGAUUACUAGGAGUUUGCGAUACACAGUAAGCUCUACAGCGAAAGCGUUAAGUAAU